rnacentral:misc_RNA from 2 species
AACGCACAUUGCGCCCGGUAGUAAUCUGCCGGGCAUGCCUGUCCGAGCGUCAUUUCAGCCCUCGACCCACUAUUCGCGUAGCUGGAUCGGUGUUGGGGCACUACGGUGGAAUACCCGUAGGCUCCGAAAUGAAGUGGCGGUCCCGCCGCGGCGCCCCCAUGCGUAGUAACAUCUCGUCUCGCAUCGGGUCCCGGCGGAGGCCUGCCGUCAAGCCUAUUCAAUCACAGAUGGUUUGACCUCGGAUCAGGUAGGGUUACCCGCUGAACUUAA